CCUACGGGUGGCAGCAGUGAGGAAUAUUGGUCAAUGGGCGGAAGCCUGAACCAGCCAAGUAGCGUGCAGGAUGACGGCCCUACGGGUUGUAAACUGCUUUUAUACGGGAAUAACGCGCCUUACGUGUAGGGCUUUGCAUGUAUCGCAUCAAUAAGGACCGGCUAUUACCGUGCCAGCGGCCGCGGUAUAACGGAAGGUCCGGGCGUUAUCCGGAUUUUUUGGGUUUAAAGGGAGCGUAGGCCGCAUGUUAAGCGUGCUGUGAAAGGUCCGGGCUCAACCCGGGCCUUGCAGCGCGAACUGGCGUGCUUGAGUCCGCGGAGGGCAGGCGGAAUUCGUCGUGUAGCGGUGAAAUGCUUAGAUAUGACGAAGAACCCCGAUUGCGAAGGCAGGUUGCUGCAGCGGAACUGACGCUGAUGCUCGAAAGCGCGGGUAUCGAACAGGAUUAGAUACCCGUGUAGUC
rnacentral:rRNA from 1 species